AAACUUAAAGGAAUUGACGGGGACCCGCACAAGCGGUGGAGCAUGUGGUUUAAUUCGACGCAACGCGAAAACCUUACCUGGGUUUGACAUGCCGAGUACCCGAUGGAAACAUUGGGGUGCCCCGUAAGGGGAACUUGGACACAGGUGCUGCAUGGCUGUCGUCAGCUCGUGCCGUGAGGUGUUGGGUUAAGUCCCGCAACGAGCGCAACCCUCACCCUUAGUUGCCAUCAUUAAGUUGGGCACCCUAAGGGAACUGCCGCAGUUAAUGCGGAGGAAGGUGGGGAUGACGUCAAGUCCUCAUGGCCCUUAUAUCCAGGGCUACACACGUGCUACAAUGGACGGUACAAAGGGUCGCGAACCUGUAAGGGGGAGCCAACCCCAGAAAACCGCUCUCAGUUCGGAUUGGAGUCUGCAACCCGACUCCAUGAAGUUGGAAUCGCUAGUAAUCGCGGAUCAGAACGCCGCGGUGAAUACGUUCCCGGGCCUU
rnacentral:rRNA from 1 species